GUGAACGCUGGCGGUAGGCCUAACACAUGCAAGUCGAGCGGCAGCACAGUAAGAGCUUGCUCUUACGGGUGGCGAGUGGCGGACGGGUGAGGAAUACAUCGGAAUCUACUUUUUCGUGGGGGAUAACGUAGGGAAACUUACGCUAAUACCGCAUACGACCUACGGGUGAAAGCAGGGGAUCUUCGGACCUUGCGCGAUUGAAUGAGCCGAUGUCGGAUUAGCUAGUUGGCGGGGUAAAGGCCCACCAAGGCGACGAUCCGUAGCUGGUCUGAGAGGAUGAUCAGCCACACUGGAACUGAGACACGGUCCAGACUCCUACGGGAGGCAGCAGUGGGGAAUAUUGGACAAUGGGCGCAAGCCUGAUCCAGCCAUACCGCGUGGGUGAAGAAGGCCUUCGGGUUGUAAAGCCCUUUUGUUGGGAAAGAAAAGCAGCAGGUUAAUACCCCGCUGUUCUGACGGUACCCAAAGAAUAAGCACCGGCUAACUUCGUG
rnacentral:rRNA from 1 species